AACGAACGCUGGCGGCAGGCCUAACACAUGCAAGUUGAACGAACUCUUCGGAGUGAGUAGCGCACGGGUGCGUAACGCGUGGGAAUGUACACUUGGGUGCGGAACAACGUCUGGAAACGGACGCUAAUACCGCAUAAUAUCUUCGGAUCAAAGAUUUAUCGCCCAGGGAUCAGCCCGCGUUAGAUUAGGUAGUUGGUGAGGUAAUGGCUCACCAAGCCUACGAUCUAUAGCUGGUCUGAGAGGAUGAUCAGCCACACUGGGACUGAGACACGGCCCAG
rnacentral:rRNA from 1 species